CCCUUAGAUGUUCUGGGCCGCACGCGCGCCACACUGAUGCAUUCAACGAGCCUAUCCUUGACCGACAGGUCCGGGUAAUCUUUGAAUCUGCAUCGUGACGGGGAUAGAUUAUUGCAAUUAUUAAUCUUCAACGAGGAAUGCCUAGUAGGCGCAAGUCAUCAGCUUGUGUCGAUUACGUCCCUGCCCUUUGUACACACCGCCCGUCGCUCCUACCGAUUGGGUGUGCUGGUGAAAUGUUCGGAUCGGCCGUUUGUCGCGGUUUCCGCGGCUCGUGGCUGAGAAGUUCAUUAAACCCUCCCACCUAGAGGAAGGAGAAGUCGUAACA
rnacentral:rRNA from 1 species